rnacentral:rRNA from 1 species
GAUGAACGCUGGCGGCGUGCCUAAUACAUGCGAGUCGAGCGAACAGACGAGGAGCUUGCUCCUCUGACGUUAGCGGCGGACGGGUGAGUAACACGUGGAUAACCUACCUAUAAGACUGGGAUAACUUCGGGAAACCGGAGCUAAUACCGGAUAAUAUAUUGAACCGCACGGUUCAAUAGUGAAAGACGGUUUUGCUGUCACUUAUAGAUGGAUCCGCGCCGCAUUAGCUAGUUGGUAAGGUAACGGCUUACCAAGGCAACGAUGCGUAGCCGACCUGAGAGGGUGAUCGGCCACACUGGAACUGAGACACGGUCCAGACUCCUACGGGAGGCAGCAGUAGGGAAUCUUCCGCAAUGGGCGAAAGCCUGACGGAGCAACGCCGCGUGAGUGAUGAAGGUCUUCGGAUCGUAAAACUCUGUUAUUAGGGAAGAACAAAUGUGUAAGUAACUAUGCACGUCUUGACGGUACCUAAUCAGAAAGCCACGGCUAACUACGUG